rnacentral:rRNA from 1 species
CGAACGAUUAAAGCUCUCUUCGGAGAGUGCAUAGAGUGGCGCACGGGUGAGUAACACGUAAGUAAUCUACCCUCGAGUGGGGAAUAACGUCCGGAAACGGACGCUAAUACCGCAUAAUGCAGCGGCACCGCAAGGUGACAGUUGUUAAAGAUUUAUCGCUUGAGGAGGAGCUUGCGGCAGAUUAGCUAGUUGGUAAGGUAAUGGCUUACCAAGGCUACGAUCUGUAACCGGUCUUAGAGGACGGUCGGUCACACUGACACUGAAUAACGGGUCAGACUCCUACGGGAGGCAGCAGUCGGGAAUUUUGGGCAAUGGGCGAAAGCCUGACCCAGCAACGCCGCGUGAAGGAUGAAGUAUUUCGGUAUGUAAACUUCGAAAGAAUGGGAAGAAUAAAUGACGGUACCAUUUAUAAGGUCCGGCUAACUACGUGCCAGCAGCCGCGGUAAUACGUAGGGACCAAGCGUUGUUCGGAUUUACUGGGCGUAAAGGGCGCGUAGGCGGCGUGGUAAGUCACUUGUGAAAUCUCUGAGCUUAACUCAGAACGGCCAAGUGAUACUGCUGUGCUAGAGUGCAGAAGGGGCAAUCGGAAUUCUUGGUGUAGCGGUGAAAUGCGUAGAUAUCAAGAGGAACACCUGAGGUGAAGACGGGUUGCUGGGCUGACACUGACGCUGAGGCGCGAAAGCCAGGGGAGCAAACGGGAUUAGAUACCCCGGUAGUCCUGGCCCUAAACGAUGAAUACUUGGUGUCUGGAGUUAUUAGUGCUCCGGGUGCCGUCGCUAACGUUUUUAGUAUUCCGCCUGGGGAGUACGCUCGCAAGAGUGAAACUCAAAGGAAUUGACGGGGACCCGCACAAGCGGUGGAGCAUGUGGUUUAAUUCGACGCAACGCGAAGAACCUUACCUAGGCUAGAAUGUGAGGGAAGUCUGCGUAACAGCAGGCGUCUGGGAAACCAGACCCAAAUCAAGGUGCUGCAUGGCUGUCGUCAG